UUAGGAGGCGAGGGUGAUGAAGAAGAGGAGGAGGAAGGAGGACAGAAGGAAAGGAGGAGGAGGAGAGUGGAGUGGAGUGGCGGCAUGCGAGUGGCACUUUGAGAGGGACGGCGGGCAGGAGCCCGUGAAAGGCUGCUGCUGCGCUUCCCUUUGUGUCCACAAGGUGGCCCCGACGAGCAGAGAUGCUGCGCUCCCAAAUGACCUCCGCUUCCAUUAGGAACUUUUUAGGCUUAUUUUCUUUUUUGCGCUUGACGCCACUCCGCAGCUGCUCGAGCAAAUCACACAACAAACCGUUGCCGAGCGGCGUGGACCAUUUCCAAGACGUUAAUGCAAUAUGUUAAUGUGAAUGAGAGACAUAAAUGGGGGGCAAAAGUCAAGUCAGCCAAUUCAAGGGGAGACACGCAAAUA